rnacentral:rRNA from 1 species
UACAGAGGUCUCAAGCGUUGUUCGGAUUCACUGGGCGUAAAGCGCACGUAGGCGGAUUGUUAAGUCAGGGGUGAAAUCCUGGAGCUCAACUCCAGAACUGCCUUCGAUACUGAGAGUCUUGAGUCCGGGAGAGGUGAGUGGAACUGCGAGUGUAGAGGUGAAAUUCGUAGAUAUUCGCAAGAACACCAGUGGCGAAGGCGGCUCACUGGCCCGGUACUGACGCUGAGGUGCGAAAGCGUGGGGAGCAAACAGG